rnacentral:rRNA from 1 species
GGACGGGUGAGUACACGUGGGUAAUCUGCCCUGCACAUCGGGAUAAGCCUGGGAAACUGGGUCUAAUACCGAAUAGGACCACAGAACACAUGUCCUGUGGUGGAAAGCUUUUGCGGUGUGGGAUGGGCCCGCGANNNNNCAGCUUGUUGGUGGGGUGAUGGCCCACUAAGGCGACGACGGGUAGCCGGCCUGAGAGGGUGUCCGGCUACACUGGGACUGAGAUACGGCCCAGACUCCUACGGGAGGCAGCAGUGGGGAAUAUUGCACAAUGGGCGAAAGCCUGAUGCAGCGACGCCGCGUGGGGGAUGACGGCCUUCGGGUUGUAAACCUCUUUCACCAUCGACGAAGGUUCGGGUUUUCUCGGAUUGACGGUAGGUGGAGAAGAAGCACCGGCCAACUACGUGCCAGCAGCCGCGGUAAUACGUAGGGUGCGAGCGUUGUCCGGAAUUACUGGGCGUAAAGAGCUCGUAGGUGGUUUGUCGCGUUGUUCGUGAAAUCUCACGGCUUAACUGUGAGCGUGCGGGCGAUACGGGCAGACUUGAGUACUGCAGGGGAGACUGGAAUUCCUGGUGUAGCGGUGGAAUGCGCAGAUAUCAGGAGGAACACCGGUGGCGAAGGCGGGUCUCUGGGCAGUAACUGACGCUGAGGAGCGAAAGCGUGGGGAGCGAACAGGAUUAGAUACCCUGGUAGUCCACGCCGUAAACGGUGGGUACUAGGUGUGGGUUUCCUUCCUUGGGAUCCGUGCCGUAGCUAACGCACUAAGUACCCCGCCUGGGGAGUACGGCCGCAAGGCUAAAACUCAAAGAAAUUGACGGGGGCCCGCACAAGCGGCGGAGCAUGUGGAUUAAUUCGAUGCAACGCGAAGAACCUUACCUGGGUUUGACAUGCACAGGACGCCGGCAGAAAUGUCGGUUCCCUUGUGGCCUGUGUGCAGGUGGUGCAUGGCUGUCGUCAGCUCGUGUCGUGAGAUGUUGGGUUAAGUCCCGCAACGAGCGCAACCCUUGUCUCAUGUUGCCAGCGGGUAAUGCCGGGGACUCGUGAGAGACUGCCGGGGUCAACUCGGAGGAAGGUGGGGAUGACGUCAAGUCAUCAUGCCCCUUAUGUCCAGGGCUUCACACAUGCUACAAUGGCCGGUACAAAGGGCUGCGAUGCCGCGAGGUUAANNNAAUCCUUUUAAAGCCGGUCUCAGUUCGGAUCGGGGUCUGCAACUCGACCCCGUGAAGUCGGAGUCGCUAGUAAUCGCAGAUCAGCAACGCUGCGGUGAAUACGUUCCCGGGCCUUGACACACCGCCCGUCACGU